rnacentral:miRNA from 1 species
ACCUUAGAGACCAACUAAGUUUGUUAUUGGUAUGAGCUUUGUGCAUGCACACAAAAGCUCAUACCAAUAAUAAACUUAUUUGGUCUCUAAGGU